rnacentral:lncRNA from 1 species
ACUGCUAGGUGUCACUGAUGGAUUUUGGGAGCAAUUAGAAUGAUUUUGAUGAUCGAUCAUUCUAAUUGUCUGAAUCAGAAGAGUUCUGGUCCAUCGAAAGGAGUUUCGAUGAUGUCGAUGAUGAGAUCACGACAUGUCUCAUUACCAUACAGAAUUGAACCUAACUGAGUCACACAAAUAAGGGUUAGGGUCUGGAUGUCAUCAAUUGGGCUACCCCAAUUGAUUUGGAUAAGAUCCAAUUAGGUUCAAGAAAAUCGUGCUAGCACUCGAUUGAGCCUAACUUUCUCC